rnacentral:piRNA from 1 species
UAUAAAAUUUGUGUAUUUAGA